AGCUUGCUAUUCCCCAGCAAACCGAAGGGACUGUCUCAGCACCAGGAACCCUGCCACCUUCUGAGACCUCCUCUUCUGCUCAUACACCUGAACCACCACACACUGGUUCUUCGGUUGUUGAUGUUGUUCCCCCA